rnacentral:lncRNA from 7 species
CUUCUUCCUGCAUUGCUGGUUUCUGUGCAGGUGUACAGCCAAGCUAUCAGCUUCAGCCUCUUCUUCCUGCUUUCUGAGGGAUAAAAUGCAUAAUGUUUAUGUGCAUUUAUAAUAUCUGAGUAUACUUUAUAAUCAGCAGACACCAGGAUGUGGCUGUGGAUGUGUGUUGCUGUAACAACAGGACUGAGAGCUCUGGAGGUGUGUGCUGUCCCCAGUGUUUUACAAAGGAGGAAAAUUAUUUGGAGCUCCACCCGGCCUUAAUGAAGACGUGUAACCCCAUGAGUUGGCUCCUGCUCCAUGCAUGCAAGAAGAGAGCUGUGCUUUGGAGGGAGGCACAAGAGGAACGUUGCUGGGCAGAGCAGAGAAGGGUCUGAUCAGCUGGGGUACACAAAUGUCCCAGAGGGCCACGUUGAGCUACAAACUGACUGACUGACUGAAGGUGGGAUUCAACUCCUUUAAUUAAAUCUUCCCAAAAGUUGGCCUGUAGGUCCCUCUAGAGUCUCUGGAGAGUGAGAUGCAUUCUCACCGCUGUCCCUCCAUCAACGUUCCCUGCUGUUCCUACCAAAAGCCCUACAGAAGUGUUUGAGUUGGUCUGAAAAGCCCUCAGCUCUUGGAGCAGAACACACUCCUUCCCUGCACACCUUUGCCUGUUAAUUUCCUCUCCAUGCCUGCAAGAGGAAGAAAAAACAUAGUUUUACUUCUUUUUAUUCAACCUAUGCAUGAAUUUGAUCUCUUCCUCUUGCCUCACCUCCAAAUGCCCAAUGCCAGCAUGGAGACAGAUGCCAACACAAGCUGGACAUCGCUGGUGACAUUGCAUCUUGUGCAGCUCUGCCAACUUAAAAUGAACCAGAUCCAUUCCAGCUCUAGUUUUGGAGCUUUCAUCUUUUUUUUUCUUUCUUUCUUUCUUUUUUAAACUUCCUUUUUCCUGUAGUCUUCCAUGAUACCUUGCAUAUUGCUCAGUUCUGUUGCCAGCUUGGAUCUUUCACCUCCCAGAACAUCCUGCUGCCUCUUCCAGUUGGCAAUAGAAGUUCCCAACAUUAGCUCAGCGUUGCUGUUGUAACACUUCUGCUCCUGCAGAAAGCCCCAUGUGGUCCCUCCAGCCCCUCAUUACUCUGCUCCAGCAGUUGGAGCUGAAAUUCAGAGAGUAAAGAUUUGUUACUGGUGAUACAGAAGGGAACAACUACAGUCCCAGAAGCGGCAAAUUGAGGGAUGCAAUUAGUAUUGUUCAGGACAGUAGUGGGUGAAUGGAGAAAGCAGACACCCAAAGUGUGUCAAGUGACAUCUUCUCAUGAGAAGGCUGUUCUGAAAAAUGUCUCUGCUGUUACUGUAUGAAAAGCCCUAAGUUACUCAUUACAGAGGUGGGAUAAAGGAGGGGUAAUUCUGUUUCAGUUUAGGAUUCAAGGGAUGUAAAAUUGAGGCUU